GUGCCAGCAGCCGCGGUAAUACGGGGGGUGCGAGCGUUGUUCGGAUUUAUUGGGCGUAAAGCGCGUGCAGGCGGUUUGUUAAGUCUGAUGUGAAAGCCCCGGGCCCAACCCGGGAAGUGCAUUGGAUACUGGCAGACUUGAAUACGGGAGAGGAGAGUGGAAUUCCUGGAGUAGGGGUGAAAUCCGUAGAUAUCAGGAAGAACACCGGUGGCGAAGGCGGCUCUCUGGAACGAUAUUGACGCUGAGACGCGAAAGCGUGGGUAGCAAACAGGAUUAGAAACCCCGGUAGUCC
rnacentral:rRNA from 1 species